GACGAACGCUGGCGGCGUGCUUAACACAUGCAAGUCGAACGAAGAGCGAUGGAAGUUUGCUUCUAUCAAUCUUAGUGGCGAACGGGUGAGUAACGCGUAAUCAACCGCCCCUUCAGAGGGGGACAACAGUUGGAAACGACUGCUAAUACCGCAUACGAUCUAAUCUCGGCAUCGAGGAUAGAUAAAAGGUGGCCUCUACAUGUAAGCUAUCACUGAGGGAGGGGAUUGCGCCUGAUUAGCUAGUUGGAGGGGUAACGGCCCACCAAGGCGAUGAUCAGUAGCCGGUCUGAGAGGAUGAACGGCCACAUUGGGACUGAGACACGGCCCAGACUCCUACGGGAGGCAGCAGUGGGGAAUCUUCCGCAAUGGACGAAAGUCUGACGGAGCAACGCCGCGUGAGUGAUGACGGCCUUCGGGUUGUAAAGCUCUGUUAAUCGGGACGAAAGGCCUUCUUGCGAACAGUUAGAAGGAUUGACGGUACCGGAAUAGAAAGCCACGGCUAACUACGUG
rnacentral:rRNA from 1 species